rnacentral:rRNA from 1 species
GACGAACGCUGUUCGGCGUGCUUAACACAUGCAAGUCGAACGGAAAGGCCCUGCUUUUGUGGGGUGCUCGAGUGGCGAACGGGUGAGUAACACGUGAGUAACCUGCCCUUGACUUUGGGAUAACUUCAGGAAACUGGGGCUAAUACCGGAUAGGAGCUCCUGCUGCAUGGUGGGGGUUGGAAAGUUUCGGCGGUUGGGGAUGGACUCGCGGCUUAUCAGCUUGUUGGUGGGGUAGUGGCUUACCAAGGCUUUGACGGGUAGCCGGCCUGAGAGGGUGACCGGCCACAUUGGGACUGAGAUACGGCCCAGACUCCUACGGGAGGCAGCAGUGGGGAAUAUUGCACAAUGGGCGGAAGCCUGAUGCAGCAACGCCGCGUGCGGGAUGACGGCCUUCGGGUUGUAAACCGCUUUCGCCUGUGACGAAGCGUGAGUGACGGUAAUGGGUAAAGAAGCACCGGCUAACUACGUGCCAGCAGCCGCGGUGAUACGUAGGGUGCGAGCGUUGUCCGGAUUUAUUGGGCGUAAAGGGCUCGUAGGUGGUUGAUUGCGUCGGAAGUGUAAUCUUGGGGCUUAACCCUGAGCGUGCUUUCGAUACGGGUUGACUUGAGGAAGGUAGGGGAGAAUGGAAUUCCUGGUGGAGCGGUGGAAUGCGCAGAUAUCAGGAGGAACACCAGUGGCGAAGGCGGUUCUCUGGGCCUUUCCUGACGCUGAGGAGCGAAAGCGUGGGGAGCGAACAGGCUUAGAUACCCUGGUAGUCCACGCUGUAAACGGUGGGUACUAGGUGUGGGGUCCAUUCCACGGGUUCCGUGCCGUAGCUAACGCUUUAAGUACCCCGCCUGGGGAGUACGGCCGCAAGGCUAAAACUCAAAGGAAUUGACGGGGCCCCGCACAAGCGGCGGAGCAUGCGGAUUAAUUCGAUGCAACGCGUAGAACCUUACCUGGGUUUGACAUGGAUCGGGAGUGCUCAGAGAUGGGUGUGCCUCUUUUGGGGUCGGUUCACAGGUGGUGCAUGGCUGUCGUCAGCUCGUGUCGUGAGAUGUUGGGUUAAGUCCCGCAACGAGCGCAACCCUUGUUCACUGUUGCCAGCACGUUAUGGUGGGGACUCAGUGGAGACCGCCGGGGUCAACUCGGAGGAAGGUGGGGAUGACGUCAAGUCAUCAUGCCCCUUAUGUCCAGGGCUUCACGCAUGCUACAAUGGCUGGUACAGAGAGUGGCGAGCCUGUGAGGGUGAGCGAAUCUCGGAAAGCCGGUCUCAGUUCGGAUUGGGGUCUGCAACUCGACCUCAUGAAGUCGGAGUCGCUAGUAAUCGCAGAUCAGCAACGCUGCGGUGAAUACGUUCCCGGG